AGUGAACGCUGGCGGUAGGCCUAACACAUGCAAGUCGAACGGCAGCACAGUAAGAGCUUGCUCUUACGGGUGGCGAGUGGCGGACGGGUGAGGAAUACAUCGGAAUCUACUUUUUCGUGGGGGAUAACGUAGGGAAACUUACGCUAAUACCGCAUACGACCUACGGGUGAAAGCAGGGGAUCUUCGGACCUUGCGCGAUUGAAUGAGCCGAUGUCGGAUUAGCUGGUUGGCGGGGUAAAGGCCCACCAAGGCGACGAUCCGUAGCUGGUCUGAGAGGAUGAUCAGCCACACUGGAACUGAGACACGGUCCAGACUCCUACGGGAGGCAGCAGUGGGGAAUAUUGGACAAUGGGCGCAAGCCUGAUCCAGCCAUACCGCGUGGGUGAAGAAGGCCUUCGGGUUGCAAAGCCCUUUUGUUGGGAAAGAAAAGCAGCAGGUUAAUACCCCGCUGUUCUGACGGUACCCAAAGAAUAAGCACCGGCUAACUUCGUG
rnacentral:rRNA from 1 species